CUCAAGUUAGAAACCCUAGCCGCCGCUGCCCAAUCCCCUCACGCUUCGCCUCCUCUCCCAAUCCCACCACGUCUCUCCUGCUCCUCCCUCCUCUCCCUUGGCAAGAAGACGAAGGGGGAUCGGGAAACCCUAGCCGCCGGCCCCCAAUCGUCGCACGUCCUCUCUCCCCAAUCCCGUCGUCCUCCACUCCUCCCAAUCCCGUCUCCCAGUUGUCCUCCUCAAUCCCGUUGCUGCUCUCCCGUUACCACUUCCCUGGCUUUCUCUUCUUCUCAUCCGUGAGCCUGUACGUGGUGGUGGAGAUGCACAAGGCGUCGGUGCUGGAGAUCGAGCCGCCGCCAACACCACAUCUCCCCGGGCGAGCUCCUCGAUGCCUCAACAGGGUUUGAUUAGGCCGAUAUGGGCAGGGACAGGUGCAGCGGGCGGCGGCCGCAGGUGGACGAUGGUAGCCGCCGUUGGUGGACGCACGAUGGCAGAGGUGAAAUCGAGCGCAGACCACGGACACAGCUUGGGGUUUGGGCGGCAACGCCCAUCGAGCGACGAUGAGCACGGCUGAAUGAGGCCAACGACCACGGGAUUAGAUUGGUUCUUGGGCGGCGACCCAUGAUUUGGGCGGCAGUUCGAUGACGAGCACGGCUAGAGGAGGAGAAGAUGACCACUGGCGAUGGAAUUGCAAUCGUUGCUCUGCUGAUGUUCACCUCCUUCCUAAACACCCUUGCAUGUGACUUACGGCUCAUCGCUUGCUUCUCAUUUCAUUUACUGUGCCGUUGUCGAUGAUAAGUUCACUCUUCACUGAUUUAAGCAGAUGCCGUGGAGUUUGGUUCUUUGGCUCCCUCGGCCCCAAGCACUGUUUGCCUAAGGUUCCAACCUCUUGCACAGUUUAGUCUGCUGUAAUCUUGCUCUCUUGCUCUGUUGGUUGUUUUUGUUCUUCUAAGUAAAUGUAUAUAUCGUAUCAAUCAUUGUGUGGUGGCAUGUCAAUUUAGCUUAUUAUUUGAUCGAGCUCGGCCUCCUUUGCACCCACUUCAUCAUGCACAAUGCCUCAUUGGCCAUUCGGUUUGUGGUGUCUACCAAUUGUAUGAUCCAGAAAGUAAUGGAAUAUUAAGCUAUUGGUGGAUGGCCUUCUCAAUCCUUCAGGGGUGUUGGUUGUUCGAGUUUCGUGUGUCUAGCCAUUGCAAAAUGGUUUAACUUUAAUGAUUUUGUAUAUGUCUCCUCUGCAUCCUCCUCAACCAAAGUACAAGACUAGUGUGGCUUCUCAAGGCAAUCUGGUGGCCAGUGUAACCUUCUACUCCCUAACACACCGUCUCACCAUCAAUUUUGGCAGUGUAUUAUUGUCCAGCCAACAAAUGGGCAGGCUCGAGGCCGUGGAAAAUGCUGCGCCACACAUGCCAUUGGUAUGUAGCAGCCAGCGAUAUCGAAAGCUUACAACUAUGAAAAGCCUAGGAAGCUGUCUCAAGAGUGUUAUCUCAAACAAUGAGAAGGACAAACGGUUGAAUGGGAAGGACAAGCAGCAUAAAGAAUUUACCAGCACUUGGAAACGCAACUAAAAGCGGUUUGAGGAGACCAGAAUAAGGAUCUUAAUAAUGUGCUUGCUUACUAUCCACACAAGUAGGUAUAAUAAAAAUUGGAGUUUAUGGCUGGGUUUACCUGAUGGCCUUGAUAUGGAGCUUUGCUGAUGGUCUUGCGGAAUAACUGAGUUACUUCUGAGUGAUGAUUUAUGACUGAUAGGUUUGUUCCCUUGCUGCAAAAAGAAGAAAAGCAUCAUUUCCCCUCACCGGAAAAAUUGAUAAAGGCACAAUAUUUGUAUAUCCGUGCAAUCCAGCAAUUGAAGCCACUCUUUGCCUCAUCCAUGAGAAGCACCAGAAACCAUACAUGGAGAAACUUAAACCGGCCAUUUGAGAUUUCAGUCAUGUUCUGGAACUUGACUUCAAUUGGGCAAAGAGUGGCUUCAAUUGCUGGAUUUAUCAAUGCUUUGUAGGAACUGAUUAUCACACUUUUUUUUUGUCUUCAGAAACUUUAAUCGGGCAUUUUAGAUUUUAGUGAUGUUCUGUGGAACUUCAAUCACUCAUGAUUUCUGUUCAUUUCAUUUGUACAAGGUGCAUGCAAUUGGCUCGCAUCAAGAUCCCACCAACAUUCAUGACUGACGCCAUGUUAGAUGAGCUGCAACUUCACAGAUUGACAUAUGCAGAACUACUGCGAGAUGGCAACAUGACCGUGACUGUGUCAUUCUAUCCAUCAGUGCACAUGAUACAUCAGAAUCUUGGCCAAAAGUCUUUCACCAGCCAUCCACAGAGCUCUUAUAUGAGCUGCUGACUGAGAACCAAACAAUAAUCUAGGAUAUUGAAUAGAAUGUCGCCUCAAGCUAUGGAGGGCUCUAGCUACGAUAGACUUAAUAAAACACACUGUUCAUGUAUAUCACCUCAAGCAAGUGGUCGACACGGGUCAGUAGAUUAAACAACUUAGUAAAAAAGCUGAAGAAGAUGCAUAGCUAUAUUUAAUGUUUCCUGCAGCAAGUGAAUGACAAAGACAAGCAAAUAAGGCAGUUUAGCAGGUUCUGAGAUAAUGUCAGAGAUGAUGUAUGCAAGCCUGAGGAGGUAGACUAUCUGGGAGAGAUGGAUCACAAAUACAAUCGUGGCUCGGUUCUUAUUGGAGCUGACAAGAAUGCAUAUUCAACAAUUCAAAGCAUCUAAGGAAAUCUAGAAAGCAAAUAAGUACAUUUCCUACAACUUGAACUUCAACCCCACUGAAGAUGAUCAGUUCUCCGGAAGGAGUGCACUUGUGAUGAGUUGCACCUAUAUUUUGCUCCAUGCAACGGUUGGUUAACGUUAACUUCUGUGUUGUUUUUACAUAUAACUUCUACCCCUAUUAUUUACAGCAUUAUGUGCAUAACGCAGCCUGGCUUUAUUUUCGCAUAGAAAACUUAUGUACCUAAAACAUUAUUUAUGUUAUGGAUGUAUGUUAUGUCUCA